rnacentral:lncRNA from 1 species
AUGAUUACCUUGAUUCCCUUCACGUCUUUAGGGAUCUUGUCGAGGCUUUCCGCUGCAGCCUUGAGCAUACAGGUCACACUAGCUCCAGGUCCAAAUAUUGGCAGCGCAGAGCAGGAGUUCAGUUGGUCAACUGACCCACCGGGCAGAGAAGACGUGGCUGACCCUAGCCAUGUUGGAGGUCCUGGUGGAUCCACGGACCCUUCAACCUCUUUAAUUGGAAGAACUAAACCUCUGGUAAGCAAAGCCAUGGCAGGAGGUGGCUCCAAGCUUCGACUACCUGACAGAAACACACUGUUCAAGAAGCCAAAUGUUCCAGGUCGUUUCAAUGCGACCAGGUUUGUAGCCAACGGCAAGAGGUUUGGCUCAGGUCCUCUGAUGAAACCACUUGCUGGAGGUAGGCUGAGGCCACAUAUAGCGCCUGAUAAACCCAAAGCCCCUGUGGAAGACAAGACUGGGCAUUUGACUGAGAGUGACCUGAGCGCUGGCACAUCAAGGCCUGAGAGAACGGAAAACCCAGCUGUCAUGUCUGGACCAAACACAGAGCGACCAGGCCAGCAACAUCACAGCACCUCAGGGUCAACUGGGACUUUGGCCCAAGAGAAAAGAUGUCUGAACAAAAUGAAAGUGACACACAGCAGAUUAGCCCCUAAAGACAGAGGCAGCAGCUGUAGGGAGGACGGAACCGUGGUGGAGAACACAGGCCCAGGCUCCUCAGGUCUAGAUGCUUCAUCCACCCACAGAGAGUCUGACGCUGACUAUUUACCAGAUCCUUCACACAGACUCCUCACUGACACAUUUGACAGUUUAAAUAUCACAAGCUUUUCUGUCCACCUGGUGAAACUGUCCAGUCUGUCUGUAAAGGCAGAAACCGCCAAGAAGCAGAUUAUAGGUGGAUUAAAGUCACAGCCGUCGGUUGCACCGUCAUCAGCUCCACCGUCAAUAAAUUCUGUAAAUGCAUCAUCUUGGAACACAGUCAGGUCAGACUCCGAUGGGCCCAGUGAAGGUUCCACCACGGCUUAUUUAACACACGGGACGUUGCUGCCUUCAGGAGACAGAGAGGUGCGUCGCAACCAGGCAGCACCAAAACGUGGGCGAAACCAGCUUUUAAAAUUUGGGACCUUCCAAAUCAGGAGCCCAGUAAACAGGACACGUCAGCCUCUUGGUUUUAACGUGUUCCCUAAACAAGAGACAGAGACUAGACAGUCGUCUGCAAAUGAAUUCGCUUUGUUUCCAUCUUCCUCUGGCUCAGUAGACAGAAAUGCAGCAGUCAAUGCUAGUAGGGAUGGAGUAACAAAACCUGUGUCCUCUGUGGUUGACCAAGGCCAGAAGAACAAACCUGAGACACGAAGGCAGGUCCCACUUCGACGUCUUCCUCCAAAGCGGGCAUUCAUGCGUCGCCCACUUCCAAACACAGGGCCUCACAACCAGAGUCGGCCAAGUGUGAAGCUCCUCGCUCGUCCCUCUAGACCUGGUCCCAAAGCCGGGACACAGACACAGCCAGCGUCUUCCACAGAACUACCAGCCAUCUCACCUCCUGCCUCCGAAGCCUCCUAUUUACCUGCAGAGCCAGUGAGACAGAGAGAAGCUGAUGGAGCCACCUCCACCACUAACACGGCCAACACUUUAAAUCAGACUGUGAGCCUUCAUAGAACACCUUUGUCCAAGCACCCAACACCCAGAGCUGGGCUUCACCAUGACCUGCAGCGACAUGGUCGACCGUCUACUAACAGAACCCAUCUGAACCUGAGCCAACAUUCAAAUGGAGGCUACAAAACACCGUCUGCAAAGGUGAAUGAGCUCCCAGUGAACUUUGAACUUCCCAGUAUCCCAUUAGGAAACCACAGCAUCCCCAUUGUCCCUGGCUUUGUCCAAGGGGCCAAUGUUAGAAGGUUAGUCGAUGACCGACACUCAACCAUCCAACAUCACACUACCCAGCCUACGCACCAUAAAACCAGCAACUGGGACCACAGUGAUACUGGUAAUGCAGGUCAAAACAGACCCAUCAUUCAGCAAAGUUCAUCCGGUUCAAGAACCGCAUUCCCCAACAAAGAGUCACCAGCUAGAGGUUUGACAGCGCAGCAGCAUAGGCAGCUGAAAAACUACGUCAGUGGAAGCCAUUCAACACAAGGCCAGGACGCCAGGCCUGGACUGGGACCCGGCGCUUCCUCUGCAGGGAUGGGGAGGGAACCUCUGCUCUAUGUGGGAGUGAGGAACCGGACCUCAGAUGGAUUUACACUUGUGUGGGACUCACCACAGGGGAAGUACACAAACUUCAUUGUGACCACAAAAGAGGCUGUAAAGGAUAAAGCACCAAAACUGCAGGACGGUAAAAAAGUCCAACAAGGAGCCUCACAGGACGCAGGACAGCAGCCCAGAGGAGCAGGAGACGGUGCUGGUCCAGAUCAAAACGCCUCGACUCUGAAGGGGGAACGCAGCACCGCUGCUCAGGAGGGGACCCUCACAAACGUUCUCCCUGGUUCCAGUCGCUUGCUGCAGGUCCAGGACCUGUUCCCUCAGACUGACUACACUAUCACCCUGCUGGGAAAAGGUCCGGGCCUCCUGUCCAGACUGCACAAGCUUGUCAUCAGCACAGGUACAAGCCAUUGGUACAGAGUGGGAGGAGCUGCUGUACAAUGCAUCAACAUUGCUGCCAAUGUUGUUUAUGACACUUGGUCCUUUCUUUCUGAUCCUGUCUCAGUCAAAACAUUCAUCUUUUCUCUCUGA